rnacentral:lncRNA from 1 species
UGGUAGACCACGGCAGCUAGUUCAUGAAUACCCUUAGGUGCACACGACAGCUAUGGCCAUGUCGGCAUACUAAGGGUUUGCAUGAGGUAGGAAACAGAGGCUAGCUACCUUGAUCUUUUUGCCUUGUGGUGAAGUGAGUUCUGAAUGGUCUUCCGUACUCUAUUAAUUUUCAGUUUGGUUACUUUAAUAAACAAAAUAACAGCACAUUUUAAUACGUCACAUUAAAGAGAGUAUCAAUCUGUCGUAGCCAAAGUCUGCACAUUUUCUCAUAGCCAAAUCUGAAAGGAGGUCAGGUGAUCGAUGGAAGAUACAAAUAUGGUCUAAAAGUAAGACGUGCGAACUUCAAAAAAACUCAGCGAG